rnacentral:rRNA from 1 species
CCCUUCGGGGUACUCGAGCGGCGAACGGGUGAGUAACACGUGAGCAACCUGCCCCAGGCUUUGGGAUAACCCCGGGAAACCGGGGCUAAUACCGGAUAUGACCUUGCACCGCAUGGUGUUUGGUGGAAAGUUUUUCGGCUUGGGAUGGGCUCGCGGCCUAUCAGCUUGUUGGUGGGGUGAUGGCCUACCAAGGCGACGACGGGUAGCCGGCCUGAGAGGGCGACCGGCCACACUGGGACUGAGACACGGCCCAGACUCCUACGGGAGGCAGCAGUGGGGAAUAUUGCACAAUGGGCGGAAGCCUGAUGCAGCGACGCCGCGUGAGGGAUGACGGCCUUCGGGUUGUAAACCUCUUUCAGCAGGGACGAAGCGUAAGUGACGGUACCUGCAGAAGAAGCGCCGGCCAACUACGUGCCAGCAGCCGCGGUAAGACGUAGGGCGCGAGCGUUGUCCGGAUUUAUUGGGCGUAAAGAGCUCGUAGGCGGCUUGUCGCGUCGACCGUGAAAACCUGGGGCUCAACCCCAGGCCUGCGGUCGAUA